rnacentral:tRNA from 1 species
GGCGCGUUCGUCUAGCGGCCUAGGACGCUGCCCUCUCAAGGCAGAGACCAUGGGUUCAAAUCCCAUACGCGCCA